CGUAACAAGGUUUCCGUAGGUGAACCUGCGGAAGGAUCAUUACCUAGAGUUUGUGGACUUCGGUCUGCUACCUCUUACCCAUGUCUUUUGAGUACCUUCGUUUCCUCGGCGGGUCCGCCCGCCGGUUGGACAACAUUCAAACCCUUUGCAGUUGCAAUCAGCGUCUGAAAAAACUUAAUAGUUACAACUUUCAACAACGGAUCUCUUGGUUCUGGCAUCGAUGAAGAACGCAGCGAAAUGCGAUAAGUAGUGUGAAUUGCAGAAUUCAGUGAAUCAUCGAAUCUUUGAACGCACAUUGCGCCCCUUGGUAUUCCAUGGGGCAUGCCUGUUCGAGCGUCAUUUGUACCUUCAAGCUCUGCUUGGUGUUGGGUGUUUUGUCUCGCCUCCGCGCGCAGACUCGCCUUAAAACAAUUGGCAGCCGGCGUAUUGAUUUCGGAGCGCAGUACAUCUCGUGCUUUGCACUCAUAACGACGACGUCCAAAAGUACAUUUUUACACUCUUGACCUCGGAUCAGGUAGGGAUACCCGCUGAACUUAAGCAUAUCA
rnacentral:rRNA from 1 species